UAGAAAUUCCCAGAUAUUCUUAAAACUAGCAGGUUGCAAACCAGAAUUCUGCUCCUGGAAGCUUCAUUGUCCCAGAGAUGUUCUCAAAGAUGUGCAUUGUGCAACCUUCCCCUCGGAGCAAAGCGGGGCAGCCCGAGGUGUCCCCGUGGAAGCCCCGUGGUGCCUCCCAACUUCCCGCAAAGUGCUGCCGUACCCAUACUUGGGGAGCAGGC